GACGAACGCUGGCGGCGUGCUUAACACAUGCAAGUCGAACGGAAAGGCCCUGCUUUUGUGGGGUGCUCGAGUGGCGAACGGGUGAGUAACACGUGAGUCACCUGCCCUUGACUUUGGGAUAACUUCAGGAAACUGGGGCUAAUACCGGCUAGGAGCUCCUGCUGCAUGGUGGGGGUUGGAAAGUUUCGGCGGUUGGGGAUGGACUCGCGGCUUAUCAGCUUGUUGGUGGGGUAGUGGCUUACCAAGGCUUUGACGGGUAGCCGGCCUGAGAGGGUGACCGGCCACAUUGGGACUGAGAGACGGCCCAGACUCCUACGGGAGGCAGCAGUGGGGAAUAUUGCACAAUGGGCGGAAGCCUGAUGCAGCAACGCCGCGUGCGGGAUGACGGCCUUCGGGUGGUAAACCGCUUUCGCCUGUGACGAAGCGGGAGUGACGGUAAUGGGUAAAGAAGCACCGGCUAACUACGUG
rnacentral:rRNA from 1 species